ensembl:snRNA U6 U6 spliceosomal RNA
GUGCUCUCUUUGGCAGCACAUAUACUAAAACUGGAAUGAUACAGAGAAGAUUAGCAUGGCCCUUGAACAAGGAUGACACACAUAUUCAUGAGGCAUUCCAUAAUUUU